GAUGUGUCGGAAGGAUGUCGGGAGGGGUUUUUAGAAACUAAUAAAAAAACAAAUUACAUAGCUCGUCAGAAAACUGCAAGACAAAUCUAUUAAGUAUAAUUAAUCUGUCAUUAGCACAUGUAGGUUACUGUAGCACUUAAGGCUAAUCAUGGAGUAACUAGGCUUAAAAGAUUCGUCUCGUGAUUUUCAACCGAACUGUGUAAUUAGUUUAUUUUUUUUAUGUACAUUUAUUGUUUCAUGCAUGUGUCCAAAGAUUCGAUGGGAUGGAUGAAAAAAUUUUAGGUGGCAAACUAAACAGGGCCU
rnacentral:lncRNA from 1 species